rnacentral:tRNA from 1 species
GGGGAUGUCGUAUAACCUGGCUAUUAUCUCCGGCUCCAGCCCGGAAGAUCUGGGUUCGAAUCCCAGCGUCCCCA